rnacentral:lncRNA from 1 species
AUACAAAAAUUAGCUGUCUGUGGUGUCACAUGCCUGUAGUCCCAGCUACUCGGGAGGCUAAGGCAGGAGACUAACUUGAACCUGGAAGAUGGAGGUUGCAAUGAGCCAAGAUUGCCCCACUGCACCCCCAGCCUGGGCAACAGAGUGAAACUUUGUCUCAAAAAAAAAAAAAAAAAAAGAAAAGAAAAGAAAAAAAGAAAGAAAGAAGCAAGGGCUCAGGAAAUGCACAGAUCUGGGGGAAGAACAUUCCAGGCAGAGGGACAGGCAAUGAGACUAAUGUGACUGGGUAAACUGCGCAAGGAGGAGAGUGAUGAAUGAUGGGUUCACAGAGGUAGCCAGACACUUCAUCAUGUUUGAUCCUGAGGAGGUUUGGAGGCUCUGCAAAGAAGUUUGAAUUUUAUUUCAAGUGGUACAGGAAGACAUUAGUGGAGUUAGAGCAGACGAGUGCAUUUUUUUCCUUAUUUGUUAAUAAACAUAUAAAAUUGUUCCAACUCAGACAGAUAAAAAUUAAAACCAAAAUGAAAUAUCAAAAAAUUUUAAGACUGGACACUGAAAUGGUGCAGUUAGAUGGACACUUGUCCAUGUCUGGAGGAAAUACAUCUGCUUACUAAAUCAAUAAAUAGUCAUUGAGCAUCCAUCAUGAGCCAUGAGCCAGAUAAUGUUUUGUUUUGUUCUUUUUUUAGAGACAGGGUCUCACUCUGUCACCCAGGCUGAAGUGCAGCCAUAUGUCAAACUUCUGGCUUCAAGCAAUCCCCACCUCUUCACCUCCCAAAGUGCUGGAAUUACAGGCAUAAACCACCAUGCCCUUCCAAGCCAGAUAAUCUUUGGGGGGUUUGGGGAGGCAGCAACAGACAAAAGAGACAAGGGAUCUGUGUUCAGAAGGUAGAGCAAAAAAUGUUCUCUCAGUCUAUUUUAUAUUUGUUAAACAAUAAGCAAUAUACUUUACUAUCAAAAACAGUAAUGGGGUGGUCUGAGUGCAGUGGUGUUUACAACUAAUUGAUCACAAUGAGUUACAGAUUAUUUUGUUCCUUCUCCAUUAUGACUGCUUCCCUUGACUAGCCUUACUAAAAAGAAAAUAGGAAAACUAUUAUUACUUUUAUUCAGCAUUGUUACUAUAUAUCAUAACCAAAGCAAUAAGAUAAGAAAAAUAAAUAAAAGGCAUAGGAUGAAGAAGGGGAAAGUCAAAGCAUAUUAAUGAAAGAUACAUUUAAAACCAACAAAAAUAUAAAGCGCAUAGGAAAAAUUAUAACUUUUUUUCAGUGACAUGAAAGAACAUCAGACUAGAUGGAGAGAGACACCACAGUUUUGGGCAGAAAGAUGCAAUGUCAUAAGCAUGUCAGUUAUUCCUAGACUGGGUUAUAACAUUCAGUGGGAUACCAAUCAAAACCCCUGAAGGUAUUCGAGGAGCUUGGAUUAAGAAUUACCUUGACCUGGCUGGGAGCUGUGGCUCAGGCCUGUAAUCCCAGCACUUUGGGAGGCUGAGGCAGGCGAAUGAGGAGUUUGAGACCAGCCUGGCCAACAUGGUGAAACCCCGUCUCUACUAAGAGUACAAAAAAUUAGCUGGGCAUGGUGGCAAAUGCUUGUAAUCCCAGCUACUUGGGAGCUGAGGCAGGAGAAUUGCUUGAACCCGGGAGGUGGAGGUUGCAGUUAGCCAAGAUUGUGCCAUUGCACUCCAGCCUGGGCAAGAAGAGCAAAACUCUGUCUCAAAAAAAAAAAACCAAAAAACGAAUAGCCUUGACCCAUGAGAAGAGGAAGAUAAGAUGAUGAAGGAUGAAAUAUCCUGCCAGAUAUCAAGACUUGUAGGCCGGGCGCGGUGGCUCAUGCCUGUAAUCCCAGCUCUUUGGGAGGCCAAGGCGGGUGGAUCACGAGGU